rnacentral:misc_RNA from 1 species
CCUGAUGAGCACCGAGGGG